GACGAAAGGUAACAGAGGCGUGCAAAGGAUUCCUCAUAUCAAACGGAGCUUGGCUCUCAAGUAUAAAGACAGAAGGGAGCUUGACUACAAGAUCCACCCGUUGAGCAAGGACAAAAGUCGGUCUUAGUAAUCUAAGGGUGCCAAGUGGAAGGGUUGUCGCUCAAC
rfam:Nicotiana attenuata strain TT chromosome 6, whole genome shotgun sequence.